rnacentral:rRNA from 1 species
UACGUAGGGUGCGGGCGUUAAUCGGAAUUACUGGGCGUAAAGCGUGCGCAGGCGGCCAUCCAAGUCAGUGGUGAAAGCCCGGAGCUCAACUCCGGAAUUGCCAUUGAAACUGUUCGGCUCGAGUACGAGAGAGGUGAGUGGAAUUCCCAGUGUAGAGGUGAAAUUCGUAGAUAUUGGGAAGAACACCGGUGGCGAAGGCGGCUCACUGGCUCGUUACUGACGCUCAGGCACGACAGCGUGGGGAUCAAACAGG